GGAUUACCGCACGUUAUUACCGGAGUAAUUACCUGCAGCAACACACAAAUUGAACUAAAUGGUCAAUUGAAGUAAAGUGAAUGGCUUUUUAUUCUAGUCCCUAAAUAAUGUGUCUGCUUGGCUGAGCCGUUCAAGAAAUGCAGAUUUGGCGAUCCUCAGGAAGCCGAUCCGUGUAAGUCACCGAAGUGACACACACGAGGAAGAAAAAUCAGACGCGGGUCCUAAGACAUGUGGCGAAGACACUUGUGAAAAUCCAACAUCCGCUCGUGAUUAAAACGAAAAGAGCUCUUACAAACCCGGAGCCAAAGGGGGCCUCUGAUGCCGUGGAAGAGGGCCUGCGGGAGGCCGGCACGGUCGUCAUGCUUGGUGGCAAAGCCUCGAAAGCUUUCCUUCCAAAACCAGAAGCGAGGCCGGACUUCCUCCCCUCGCCCCUUCCGCUCGACAUGGUGACAGCUGCCUCCACCACUGCAAUAAGGUAAGAAAACUAAAUAAACGAGGGGCUCCCGGCUGGCUCGGUCAGGAGAGCAUUCGACUCUUGACCUCGGGGUCGGGAGUUCCAGAGCCACGUCGGGUAUAGAGAUGACGUAAAUCAACAAAACUUAAAAAGAAAAAGAGAUAAACCAGAGGCGAAAAGACUAGAAAAGAAGAAACCAGACCGCCAUUUUUCGCCAGGCAGGCGAUUCCGAACACAGGAGGUCCGAAAUGACCUGCAGAUCAAUACUGACAGUUUACCAAGGUUGCUGGAUGUAGAGUUAACACGAAAACUCAGAUUUCUUUCUAUGUAAUGGGGGCAAAUAGAUAGACAAUGGGAAUUUUUGAAUGAUACCACCUGUGAUAACAUCAAACCAGGUCAAGCGCCUGGAAAUAAAUACAGUAGCAUACACACGAGACCUCUAGAGAAAAAAAAAUCUGAAAUUUUAUUGACAGACAUUCACGAAGACCUAAGUAAAGAGGGGACAUUUGUUUAUGUUUAUAGUUGAUGGUUUAUGAAGUCCUUAUGGUUUAGAAAAUUCAACAUUAUAAAGAUCUUAAUUCUCCCAAAUUGA